rnacentral:rRNA from 1 species
UACAGAGGGUGCAAGCGUUGUUCGGAAUUAUUGGGCGUAAAGGGCGCGUAGGCGGCCUGGUAAGUCAACUGUGAAAGCCCAGGGCUCAACCUUGGAAGUGCAGUUGAAACUGCCUCGCUAGAAUCUCGGAGAGGGUGGUGGAAUUCCCAGUGUAGAGGUGAAAUUCGUAGAUAUUGGGAGGAACACCGGUGGCGAAGGCGACCACCUGGACGAAGAUUGACGCUGAGGCGCGAAAGCGUGGGUAGCAAACAGG